rnacentral:rRNA from 1 species
GACGAACCGUGCGAACGUUGUUCGGAAUCACUGGGCUUAAAGCGCGUGUAGGCGGGACGGCACGUCGGCCGCUGAAAUCCCUCGGCUCAACCGAGGAACUGCGCCCAAAACUGUCGUGCUCGAGGGAGACAGAGGUGAGCGGAACUUAGGGUGGAGCGGUGAAAUGCGUUGAUAUCCUAAGGAACACCGGUGGCGAAAGCGGCUCACUGGGUCUCUUCUGACGCUGAGGCACGAAAGCUAGGGUAGCGAACGGG